rnacentral:rRNA from 2 species
UGGGGGAUAUUGCGCAAUGGGGGCAACCCUGACCCAGCAACGCCGCGUGAAGGAUGAAGGUUUUCGGAUUGUAAACUUCUUUUAUUAAGGACGAAAAAUGACGGUACUUAAUGAAUAAGCUCCGGCUAACUACGUGCCAGCAGCCGCGGUAAUACGUAGGGAGCAAGCGUUGUCCGGAUUUACUGGGUGUAAAGGGUGCGUAGGCGGCUUUGCAAGUCAGAUGUGAAAUCUAUGGGCUCAACCCAUAAACUGCAUUUGAAACUGUAGAGCUUGAGUGAAGUAGAGGCAGGCGGAAUUCCCCGUGUAGCGGUGAAAUGCGUAGAGAUGGGGAGGAACACCAGUGGCGAAGGCGGCCUGCUGGGCUUUAACUGACGCUGAGGCACGAAAGCGUGGGUAGCAAACAGGAUUAGAUACCCUGGUAGUCCACGCUGUAAACGAUGAUUACUAGGUGUGGGGGGUCUGACCCCUUCCGUGCCGGAGUUAACACAAUAAGUAAUCCACCUGGGGAGUACGGCCGCAAGGUUGAAACUCAAAGGAAUUGACGGGGGCCCGCACAAGCAGUGGAGUAUGUGGUUUAAUUCGAAGCAACGCGAAGAACCUUACCAGGUCUUGACAUCCAACUAACGAAGUAGAGAUACAUUAGGUGCCCUUCGGGGAAAGUUGAGACAGGUGGUGCAUGGUUGUCGUCAGCUCGUGUCGUGAGAUGUUGGGUUAAGUCCCGCAACGAGCGCAACCCUUGCUAUUAGUUGCUACGCAAGAGCACUCUAAUAGGACUGCCGUUGACAAAACGGAGGAAGGUGGGGACGACGUCAAAUCAUCAUGCCCCUUAUGACCUGGGCUACACACGUACUACAAUGGAUGUUAACAGAGGGAAGCAAGACAGCGAUGUGGAGCAAACCCCUAAAAACAUUCUCAGUUCAGAUUGCAGGCUGCAACCCGCCUGCAUGAAGAUGGAAUUGCUAGUAAUCGCGGAUCAGCAUGCCGCGGUGAAUACGUUCCC